GACGAACGCUGGCGGCGUGCUUAACACAUGCAAGUCGAACGGAAAGGCCCUGCUUUUGUGGGGUGCUCGAGUGGCGAACGGGUGAGUAACACGUGAGUAACCUGCCCUUGACUUUGGGAUAACUUCAGGAAACUGGGGCUAAUACCGGAUAGGAGCUCCUGCUGCAUGGUGGGGGUUGGAAAGUUUCGGCGGUUGGGGAUGGACUCGCGGCUUAUCAGCUUGUUGGUGGGGUAGUGGCUUACCAAGGCUUUGACGGGUAGCCGGCCUGAGAGGGUGACCGGCCACAUUGGGACUGAGAGACGGCCCAGACUCCUACGGUAGGCAGCAGGGGGGAAUAUUGCACAAUGGGCGGAAGCCUGAUGCAGCAACGCCGCGUUCGGGAUGACGUCCUUCGGGUUGUAAACCGCUUUCGCCUGUGACGAAGCGUGAGUGACGGUAAUGGGUAAAGAAGCACCGGCUAACUACGUG
rnacentral:rRNA from 1 species